rnacentral:rRNA from 1 species
UACAGAGGGUGCGAACGUUGCUCGGAAUUACUGGGCGUAAAGCGCGUGUAGGCGGGCCGAUAAGUCAGGCGUGAAAUCCCCAGGCUCAACCUGGGAACUGCGUUUGAAACUGCCGGUCUUGAGCGUCGGAGAGGGUGGCGGAAUUCCUGGUGUAGAGGUGAAAUUCGUAGAUAUCAGGAGGAACACCGGUGGCGAAGGCGGCCACCUGGACGACAACUGACGCUGAGACGCGAAAGCGUGGGGAGCAAACAGG